rnacentral:rRNA from 1 species
UUUCAGAGUACGUGAAACCGUUUAGGGGUAAACCUGAGAAACCCGAAAGGUCGAAGGAAGAAAUUCAUUCGCGUUUCGACGUCGACGUCGGACGGAGUUCGUGUGACGAGACACGUUUUUCGGAACGAGUCUUGCGCCCUUCGUACGUCGAAUCGACGACGAACGCGUGCACUUUUCUUCUGGUAGGACGUCGCGAUCCGUCGGGCGUCGGUCUACGACUUGCGGUGGAGACCGUCCGUGUCGUACUUCGCGGUACGUUCGCGGAUACGGACCCGCUCGUUCCGGCCGACACGCUCGACGGUACACGAAAGGUCGGAGGCCGCUCACUAUUUUGGAAGCGUUCGACUCGUCGCAAGCGCGCCACGUGCGUCGGCACGCGGACCCAGUGCCGCGUCCGACCUCUGGCGACUGUUGGCGAUGAAGUUCUCGGACAGACCUCUCGCGCGCACGCACUCGUGCGUGCGCAAAGACCGAUCGGCGACGCUAUAGCUUUGGGUACUUUCAGGACCCGUCUUGAAACACGGACCAAGGAGUCUAGCAUGUACGCGAGUCAUUGGGAUUUGAACUAAACCUAAAGGCGUAAUGAAAGUGAAGAUCUUCUUCGCGAAGAUCGAGGGAAGACGAACGGUUACGUAAAACCAUCCUAAAAAAAUGGGACCGUUCCGCAUUCCCGGGGCGUCUCGUUCACAUCGCGUGAAGAGGCGCACCAAGAGCGUACACGCUGGGACCCGAAAGAUGGUGAACUAUGCCUGGUCAGGACGAAGUCAGGGGAAACCCUGAUGGAGGUCCGUAGCGAUUCU